GACGAACGCUGGCGGCGUGCUUAACACAUGCAAGUCGAACGGAAAGGCCCUGCUUUUGUGGGGUGCUCGAGUGGCGAACGGGUGAGUAACACGUGAGUAACCUGCCCUUGACUUUGGGAUAACUUCAGGAAACUGGGGCUAAUACCGGAUAGGAGCUCCUGCUGCAUGGUGGGGGUUGGAAAGUUUCGGCGGUUGGGGAUGGACUCGCGGCUUAUCAGCUUGUUGGUGGGGUAGUGGCUUACCAAGGCUUUGACGGGUAGCCGGCCUGAGAGGGUGACCGGCCAAAUGGGGACUGGGAUACGGCCCAGACCCCUAGGGGGGGCAGCGGGGGGGAAUAUUGCACAAGGGGGGGAAGCCGGAGGCAGAACCCCGGGGGGGGGGAUGACGGCCUUGGGGUUGUAAACCGCUUUCCCCGGGGACGAAGGGGGGGGGAGGGAAAUGGGAAAAGAAGCACCGGCUAACUACGG
rnacentral:rRNA from 1 species